AAAGCAAAGGACUGGAAGGCCGAGAGAGCCGUUUCCCAGCCGUUUUCCCACGGUCAGGUGCAGUGUCUGGGCUUGGACAGGUUUUGUCCGUUUCCUAGGCGCCUGCUCUUUUUGUAACAAAGGACGUUCCCAUUCUGUUCCUUUUCUUCGUCGUCAGUUUUGUCUAUUCCCAGAAACCAAGUGCAUUUUUUGCUCUUCUUUGUCCUGGGCACAAGAACUCUCUUUCUGAAAGUGUUUUAGGAAUUGGGUAUGGGGGGGGGGUGUGGUGUGGUCUGUGGCAUGAUGGAGUGUGUAAGGGUUUGGUCUUGGCAUGAUGGAGUGUGUAAGGUUUGGUGUGGUCUGUGGCAUGAUGGAGUGUGUAAGGUUUGGUGUGGUCUGUGGCAUCAUGGGAGUGUGUAGGAUUUGGUGUGGUCUGUGGCAUCAUGGGAUUGUGUAAGGUUUGGUGUGGUUUGCUGUUACCUGGAGGUAUAAGGAAUGACCCAGCUGGCCUCUAGAGGUCCCUUCUCAUCAGAGAAUCAUAGAAUCUCCAUAGAUUGUUCAGAGUAAGAAUUUUAUUCCAGGUUCUUCCACCAGACUUUUGCUUCAGGUAUCAGCGAUCUUGGGCUGUCUCACGGAGAGUUCACAUUGAACACAUUUCAGUGGAAACACCAGCCUGUGAGGACUCCACAAGCCAGUCUAUCUGGAUGCCCAGGCAUUGGGAGGUGAAUAGGUAACAGCUCAACCUAUUAAUGCCCUUCCUUGUUGUACUAGAAAUAGUGCCAUUGGCAUCUCUCCUGGGGAAACUUGAAAAAAUUUUAAGUAAUAUGAACAUCAUAUUUCUUUAAGUUCAGAGUCUCCACUAAAGGGUAAAAUGUAACGUUAUUCUUGCAUUCUUUGAGAUUAUUUUGCUUCUUCAGGAGUAGGUUGAUGGAAUCCUGCUAUAAUAAAUAAAUAAUGCCAUUAACAUCUUUUAAAUGGUCAAGUGAUAGUAUUUUUAGGAAAGGAAGAAUUGGUUGGGGUUAAGAUACAAUUUCAAAUCACAGGUGGGAACCAAAGGCAGGGAGGAAACUGGAAGAGUG
rnacentral:lncRNA from 1 species